rnacentral:misc_RNA from 1 species
GAUGAAGAACGUAGCGAAAUGCGAUAACUAAUGUGAAUUGCAGAAUUCCGUGAAUCAUCGAGUCUUUGAACGCACAUUGCGCCCCCUGGUAUUCCGGGGGGCAUGCCUGUCCGAGCGUCAUUACAACCCUCAAGCCCGGCUUGUGUAAUGGGCGGCCGUCUCUCCCCACGGGGGGAGACGCCCCCGAAACUCAGUGGGGAUGUCGCGAUACCGAAGCCUCAGCUAAUGGGUAAACCACAGCUGCAAUGGCCGCGGCCGGCGUCCGCCUUCCACGGUCCGUCCGCCUAGCGCGGGCGGCCUUCUCAAGGUUGACCUCGGAUCAGGUAGGGAUACCCGCUGAACUUAAGCAUAUCAAUAAGCGGAGGA